AUUGCUUACAGUAACUCAACAAAUACUUCCCGAGCUUCUACAAUGUAUCAGUCACUGUUGUGAACAUGGGAUUCAUAAUUUCUGCCUCCAUGGAGUACUUCUAGUGGGGAAAGAUGUAAGUAAAUAAUCACAAAUAACCAUAAUUAAAUUGUAAUAAGUGCACUGGAGGAGAAGUACCACAUUCAUUCAGUAAAUUAUCUUCCAACCAUUUUUAAAAGUAAAUUUCUAUUUAUGAUUACCGUGGCUACUGGGUGACUUUGUAAUGUUGGGCUCUUGGGAUGGGUACUGGCCAGUUCUGAUUCCCUUUCCCUUCACUGCUCCAGGGUCAAGUGUUACAGGAAAUUCUCCAUCUAAGAUUGGACUUGUAAUGGGCUAGAGUCCAUUGUUUCUCAUCGAGGCUCUUCUUUGUGUGGAGAUGCAUUGCAGGACAUUUGGCAUCCUGCUCCCCAGGUAAUAAAUGCCAGUAGCACCACAGAGUUGAUAUGAUAACCAAAAAAAGGCACUUUGAUACAUUUAUUUCCAAACACUUCUCAGGGAUUUAGUACUGUCCUGGUUGAAAACUACUGGGCUUUAUUUACUGUCAGGAUUUUUGGGAGGAGCUACUGAACAAAUUCCUUUGGGAGAACAGACUGAAAGUAGAUGGAGCUUGAAAACUGGACUCCUCAAUCCUUUUGAUGUCUGACUUGUGUGUUCUUGAUUCUUAAGCGUUUACUUUGAAACUUUGCUUUCAACCCAUUCUGCUCUUCCUCUUAUUGAGGGUAGAGAGAGGGAAGUAAUGUCUGUUGUAUGUAUAGUUUAUGAACUGGUACUUUAACGAGCAUUUCACAUACCUAAUCACUUCAGCUGUCUCAUAUCUUUGUUAGGUUUUAAUCCCCGUUUUACAGAUGGUUCUGGUGCCAAGGGAGGUGACUUGUCAAAGCCUAUACUUUUUUCUCUGUUUUAAAAAGCAUAACCUUAAUUUAUUUGAUUGUUAGUUAACCUCUAAUUGACCACUUUGGGUUUCUGGUCUGGAAUGCAUGGGGACCAGACCUUAUGUGUUCUGGUUGCUAAGCUUCGUUUCUAGAAAUUUGGGACUUGUGUAGGAUGAUAAUAGCUAACAUUUUGGGUGCUAGAGGAUAUAGCAGUCAAUUAAACACACAUCCACCUCUAGUUCUUCUAGACACAUACCCACCCACUAGCUUAUAUAUUCUAGUCUAGGAUAUAAACAUUAAGCAAGAUAAAUAGUAAACCAUAGAGUGUUCUAGUGAUACAUGCUCAGGAGAAAGAUUUGUCAUGGACCAGGUAUUAGAGGUGUGCAGGAUUGAAAUUUUAGAUGGGUUCACCAGGGAAGACCAGAUUAAAGUGUUAUUUGAUGUGAAAGAGAGCUAGACUAAUACCUGAAGAAAGAGUACCUGGUGGAGAGAUAGUGAGGCCAGAGCAUAUCCUGCUGGUUUGAGGAACAGUGUUUUGUUUUAAUGUAUCAACUCAUUCAUUCAUUGCUGAGGGUACUACUACUAUUGUCUCUAUUCUGUUGUUGCAGAAACUGAGAGACAGAGAAGUUGAAGGCAUUGCAGGGGCAGAGCUCUUAACCAUUAUGUGGGACUGGCCACCCAGGGCCAAAGCAUUUCCUCUGCACGAACAAGGUUAGGAAUUGCAAGGCCUCUAGAAUUUCACUUUCUCUUUGACAGUUUUCCUACUUUUAAAGUAGGAAAGUUUGUUUUACACACAAAUCUUUACCUUCCUGGAGCUUAUAUUCUAGUCUAGAAUACAGAUGGUGAACAAGAUAAUCCAGGGACCGGGUAUAGGAAUUUAGGAAAGCUUGGCUUUGACUGAGAAUGCUGCUUAUUUGGGAAUCUGGGAAUCUGAGGUGCAUUCCUGAUUGUUUCUCUGUUGGCCAGGCACUGCCCUCUUCAGACCCUUUCUUGGCUAAGGAAAUUGGACAUGUGCAUCUGCGUUCUAGAGUCACUUGGUGCUAGAGAUGGGAGGAGUUUGGAAAGAGGGCAUGUAGCCCAAAUGCUCCUAGACUGGACGUGAGAAUCUCCUGAGGCGAUUCUUGGCCCUGUCCCAGAGCUGCUGAUUCAGAAUCUGGAGGGCAGGAUUCCAUUGUGUUGCUGAGGAAGUUAAGUUACAACCGGGUUAGUGCCUUGCCCCUCCCCACCCCCAGCUCACCCCAGGGAGUCAGUCAGAGAACUGGGAUGGGGACCCAGGUGUCCUCUCAGCUUAGUACUCCUCACCAUGUUGUGCUGCUGCCUUACUCUUGAGAUUAAAAUAUUGUAUAGAAGGGGAUGUUUAAUUUUGUCAGAUGGCAUUUCAGUUCCUGUUUAAUCAUCUUCUUGAGGCCUUACUGUUUUUAGAGCCCUGGGAUUGAAGCAGCACCUAAAGAGGAAUUCUUUCUCAAGAAGUUGUAUGGUUUCUAGUGUUUUGGGGCACCUGGGUGGCACAGUCAGUUAAGUGUCCAACUCUUGAUUUUGGCUCAGGUCAUGAUCCCAGCGGUCGUGGGAUGGAGCCCCAUGCAUCGGGCUCCACAAUGGGUGUGAAGCCUGUUUGGGAUUCUCUCUCUCUUUCUCUCUCUCUCAAAUUAAAAAAAAAAAAAAAAAAGGAAGUUGUAUGGUUUUCUCAGAGGCUUUUGUAAGUCGUUGGAAAUGGGAGAGAUUCGUUAGCUAAGUUUGGUCUUUCAAAAAAGUGAUCUUUGUCAUUUACAGAAGAGCAUUUUCUGUGUGAAAGGUGGCUAAUUGAAAGUGUUCUGGAUGAGAAAGCCUUGAUCAUUUGUUAAUAAGUUCAUUAGUUUGGUGCUGUAGCUGCAUUAUUUGAAGGACUCUUUCUGGAAC